rnacentral:snRNA from 1 species
UCACUUUGGCAGUAUUUGUACUAAAAUUGGAACAAUACAGAGAAGAUUAGCAUGGCCACUGCACAAAGAUGACACACACAUUCGUGAAGCGUUCCAUAUUUUU